GAUGAACGCUGGCGGCGUGCCUAAUACAUGCAAGUCGAGCGAACGGACGAGAAGCUUGCUUCUCUGAUGUUAGCGGCGGACGGGUGAGUAACACGUGGAUAACCUACCUAUAAGACUGGGAUAACUUCGGGAAACCGGAGCUAAUACCGGAUAAUAUUUUGAACCGCAUGGUUCAAAAGUGAAAGACGGUCUUGCUGUCACUUAUAGAUGGAUCCGCGCUGCAUUAGCUCGUUGGUAAGGUAACGGCUUACCAAGGUAACGAUGAGUAGCCGACCUGAUAGGCUGAUCGGCCGCACUGGAACUGAGCCACGGUCCAGACUCCUGCGGGAGGCAGCAGUAGGGAAUCUUCCGCAAUGGGCGAAAGCCUGACGGAGCAACGCCGCGUGAGUGCUGAAGGUCUUCGGAUCGUAAAACUCUGUUAUUAGGGAAGAACAUAUGUGUAAGUAACUGUGCACAUCUUGACGGUACCUAAUCAGAAAGCCACGGCUAACUACGUG
rnacentral:rRNA from 1 species